GCAUGGGUGGUUCAGUGGUAGAAUUCUUACCUUCGCUGGAAGACCCAGGUUCAAUUCCUGGCUGACGCA
rnacentral:tRNA from 1 species